CCUACGGGAGGCAGCAGUGGGGGAUAUUGCACAAUGGGCGGAACCCUGAUGCAGCGACGCCGCGUGGGUGAAGAAGCGCCUCGGCGCGUAAAGCCCUGUCAGCAGGGAAGCAAAUGACGGUACCUGAAGAAGAAGCCCCGUCCAACUACGUGCCAGCUGCCGCGGUCAUACGGCGGGGGCCAGCGUUAUCCGGAUUUACUGGGGGUUAAGGGGGCGGAGGCGGCUAUGCAAGCCAGGAGGGAAAGCCCGGGGCCCAAACCCGGGACUGCCUUUGGAACUGCGUGGCUUGAGUGCAGGAGGGGCAGGCGGAAUGCCUGGUGUAGCGGUGAAAUGCGUAGAUAUCAGGAGGAACACCGGUGGCGAAGGCGGCCUGCUGGACUGCAACUGACGUUGAGGCCCGAAAGCGUGGGGAGCAAACAGGAUUAGAUACCCCAGUAGUC
rnacentral:rRNA from 1 species